rnacentral:lncRNA from 1 species
CAGAAGGCCCAUGAGGGGAAGGUGAGGUUUGAGGGAGGAGACGUGAGGCAACUGUGUCAGAAAAAAAAAAAAAAAAAAAACACGCCGCGGAGAAGCGGGGCCUGGGUCCCCAACGGACGAAAGUGCCUUCCCAUCAGCCCCUGCGCUGGGCCCCAUGGACACUGGCGACCCUGGUUAGAGCCCAGGGUGCGCCUCGUGCCCAAUAGGGGUAUCCCAAAGCGGGCAGAAUGCUCAUUAGGGGAAGGUGAGACACCUGGGGCAGAGAAAAAAAAAACUGCGCCGCAAAGAAGCGGGACCUGGGUCCCCCACGGAUGAAAGUGUCUUCCCAUCAGCCCCUGCCCUGGGCCCCAUGGACCCUGGCAACCCUGGUUCGAGCCCCAGGUGCGCCUCGCGCCCGCUAGGGUUACCCAGAAGCCGGCAGAAGGCCCAUGAGAGGAAGGGGCCUAAUGUCCACCUAAGACCUGGUGUUCACCUGGGGUCUGAUGUUCAGCUGAAGACAGGAUGUCCACCUGGAGCCGAGGAAUCCACCCAGGGACUGGUGUUGAACUGGGGCCUGAUGACCACCCGGGGACAAGGUACACAUCAGGCUUGUUGUCCACCUGUCACCAGAUGUCCACCUGAGUCCUGAUGUCCAUCUUGAUCCUGUUUGUCCACAUUAGGCCUGAUGUCCAGCUGGGGCCUAGGUACCCACUGGGGGCUUCCUGUUAACCUGGGGACUGGUGUCAUUCUGGGGCCUAAUGACCACCUGGGUUGUAUUAUUCACCUAGGGCCUGGUGUCCACUUGGGGCUUGAGUGUAACCUUGGACCUGGCACCCACAUAGGAUUGGGUAUCAAACUGGCCCCUUGGUGUCCAGUUAAGACAUCAUGUGAACCUGGCGCCUGAGUGUCCACAUGGGUCCAAAUGACUACUGGGGGCCUGAAUGUCAACCUAGAAUCUGAGGUUUACUAGGGGCCUAGGUAUCCACCUGGGG